rfam:Erwinia iniecta strain B120 contig000073, whole genome shotgun sequence.
GGGGCUAUAGCUCAGCUGGGAGAGCGCCUGCCUUGCACGCAGGAGGUCAG